GUUGAACGCUGGCGGCAGGCCUAACACAUGCAAGUCGAGCGGAUGAAGGGAGCUUGCUCCUGGAUUCAGCGGCGGACGGGUGAGUAAUACCUAGGAAUCUGCCUGGUAGUGGGGGAUAACGUCCGGAAACGGGCGCUAAUACCGCAUACGUCCUGAGGGAGAAAGUGGGGGAUCUUCGGACCUCACGCUAUCAGAUGAGCCUAGGUCGGAUUAGCUAGUUGGUGGGGUAAAGGCCUACCAAGGCGACGAUCCGUAACUGGUCUGAGAGGAUGAUCAGUCACACUGGAACUGAGACACGGUCCAGACUCCUACGGGAGGCAGCAGUGGGGAAUAUUGGACAAUGGGCGAAAGCCUGAUCCAGCCAUGCCGCGUGUGUGAAGAAGGUCUUCGGAUUGUAAAGCACUUUAAGUUGGGAGGAAGGGCAGUAAGUUAAUACCUUGCUGUUUUGACGUUACCAACAGAAUAAGCACCGGCUAACUUCGUG
rnacentral:rRNA from 1 species